AAAAAUAAGGUUAGAUGAACAAUUGAUGCAUACAACUCCCUAAUUACAGAGUCAGGUUCUUAUCAUGUGGCUGACUCAAUAGAGUGAUGUCUCAGGGAAAUUGAUACAAUAACAGUACUGACUGCUCAAUGCAACCAUGAACCUACAGGUAGUUAAAUGAAACUGGGAAAUGGCUGUAACUUGUUUCACUAUCAAAAUGGGAAGUCAAUUACAGAAGUUGGGAAACAAAAACCCUCACGUAUUCAUAUAUACGACAUUCAACACCAUCUGUCAAACAUCCUCAUCUCCAUUCUCCACAGCAAUAACAAGAUCAAACUCCAUCAAUAGACGCGGAAGUAGAGCAAGAACUAUGAAUUCUACAGUCAUUACACUUCUGUCUUUUUGUUUACAAACCAUUCCUCAAUGAAAAGCUAAAACUGGCAAUUUUCCAACCUUGCACUAAUAGCGGGUGUAGAUUUGAGUUGUAACUCUAUAAUGUUUGAAUUCAGGUAACAGAAGUAGUAAAAGGUUAGACGUUUGUCGCUAAAUUAUCCUUCCAAGACCCUGAUGCCACAGGACAUUGACAAGAUAAUAACUUUGAAAACCUUUUUCUUAGCUUUCUAAGAUUUCUUUUAAAUAAUACCAGAUCCGGUCCUAUCUGCACCACCGAAACCAGCUCAAGCAAGUUCAGGUGCAUAAAGAUACAAUGAAGAGGCUAGACCUGCCAAACAAUAGUCUACCCUGCACGCUAUGUAACCAGUGGGGCAACGAAACUAAAAGACUUUUCCAAAAAAAUAAAUAAAUGAGAAGUACAAAAGACAUGAUUGGAAUUCAGAAUAGAAACGCAACUGAAAUACUUUGAACAAAGGUAUGAACUGCCAUAAAUUAUUGACUUCAUUGGGUAACCAAUCUGAAUAAUAAUAAUAACAUACAUGUCCCAGUCUACAUUUUCAUUUAUAAGCCCCUAUACUCUAUCAACAUCUUAAGCUAGCCAUGAGGGCACCAAUAUCGUUGAGUAACUGUGGCUUGAUUCUAAUGGUUUUGUGCAUUCUAUGGAUACCUUCAAGGGUAUCAUCGUCUGAAAACAAGGUGACCCCAAUUUAUGACCCAGGGGAUAUAGAGCAGAGGUUUGAAGACUGGCUGACCCGAUAUGGCAGAGAAUAUGAGACUAGAGACGAAUGUCACUGUGUUUUGGAAUAUACCAAUCUAAUGUUCAGUUCAUUGACUACAUCAAUUCUCAAAACUUAUCCUUCAGGCUCACUGACAACAAAUUUGCAGACCUAACAAAUGAAGAGUUCAAAUUUACCGACCUAUGUUUUCGGAGUAAUAGACAUACAGCUAAAAAGAUAAACAAUGGGUGCGGGGUGCAAAAAUAGCAGAGUUGCCAGCUGCAGUAGAUUGGAGGAAGCAAGGUGCUGCGACUCCUAUUAAGGACCCAGGUCAAUGUGGAAGUUGUUGGGCAUUCUCUGCAGUGGCAUCUGUGGAAGGCAUCAACAAAAUCAAGACAGGAAAAUUAGUAUCUCUGUCAGAACAUGAGCUCAUGGAACGUGACGCUAGCAGUGAUACCCAGGGCUGCAAAGGUGGAGACAUGAAGAUAGCAUUUCAAUACAUCAAAAGGAUUGGUGGAAUCACAACCGAAAAUGACUACCCUUACAAAGGAAAAGACAGAACCUGUCAGAAAAAGAAAACUAGGGACCAUGCAGUGAAAAUAAGUGGUUAUGAAGCAGUACCUGCCAAUAAUGAGAAUAGACUACAAGCUGCAGUUGCCCAGCAACCUGUCUCUGUUGCAAUUGACGCUGGUAAUUUUGAAUUUCAACUCUAUUCCAGUGGUACUCUUCAGUGGCUCCUGUGGGGAUCAACUCAACCAUGGAGUGGCAGCAGUUGGUUAUGGUGAAUCUAGGGGUAGAAAAUAUUGGCUUGUGAAAAACUCUUGGGGCAGAGACUGAGGUGAAUCCUAUAUAAGGAUGAGACGUGGUUCUGGAAAUAAGAAAGGUAUCUGUAGCAUUGCCAUUGAGCCCAGAUAUCCAGUCAAGUAGUAGGAAGUCCUUUAAGUGUAUCAGCCAGAUCCAAAUUAUAACAUGAUGGAUGUUAGCUUAACAAGAUGCUUCAUGAUGCUGUUUACAUAUGUAAAUCAAAGAAAAGAUGUUAUUGGAAAGCUGAACUUAUUAA